CUUGCUGGACUUCUCAACUCUGCUUGCUUCCUUGUGUAUCAUUAACUCCUAUCCAUGCAGAUCAGCUUGUGCUGAGGAGAAAGGAAUGAGCAUUGUACCUUUUUCUUCUCUCAAUCAGUUUAGAGAGGUGCACACAUUUUCUUUUUUUCCUCCACUCAUAAAGAAUCUCAGAAUUCUAGGACUGGAAGAAAAUGUGGAAAAUUCUUCUCUUGGUGCUGAAGGCUUGAGUGGAAUUUGCAGAAGCCCCUUCCGGGAGCUCUAACUAGCUGUUUGCUGGCAAAUUUCCUGGAAAUUUAACAAUCAGCUCUUGGGAACUGGGACUAGCCAGCCCUGGUGUACCACUGGUGAUUACCAAAGGCCUUGCUGAGAAAGGGACAUCUGAACAGGAACCUGAAAGAGCCUCAGCAGAGAUGAUUUGGCUGGAUGAGCAUUUUAUUUUGGCAUUUGAAGAUGGUGUUGGUGGAGCCUUCCAUCCGUGUACUGUGAAAGAAUACAAACAGAACUAAACCAUCCAGUUUCAGGUCCUGGAUCCUCUCCAGUUUCAGAUGAAGGCAGAAACCCUGCUCCUCCAGAACUGCAGCGUGGCCAAUGCCCUGAGAGCAGACGAGUGGGGAGCCAGAACGACCGUGGCCGCCUCUGCGCAGUGGAACACUGGCCCUUGACAGCUGCAGGGGUCUGGAGGAGCUGCUGGCCUGGUGUUUUGCAGGGCUUGUGCUGAGAACUCUUCUCCUUUUUUGGAAAACAAAUCAAACCCUGCAAGGAAACCUCAGGCUGGACAGAUUUUCCUUGAGACGAAUCCACUCUGAUGUGUGCCUCUUUCUGCCACAACCUUUGAAAGUUAAGGCCACUUUGUGCUGCUGUAGGCCACUUCUCUGAGGAGCCCCAGAGUCUCUGAAUCUUACAAGUGCUGACUGAAAGAAGCCUGCACUUGCCUAACAAAGGGGAAAGAUGACUGAAAUACUCCUUCUCAUCCACCAAGACGGCCCGGUGUUCCCACAGACGCAAUUACAUCUAACAAGUAUUUUGGGUGUGUUUAAAGCAUGGGCUAGUUAUGAAGGAGAGGAAGGGAUGGUGGGUGCCUUCUUGUUUGCUUUUAAAAUUCUGUAUUUGACAGGAAUACUCUGUGCUGGUAUAAUGAUGAGACUCUAGAGAACAGUAGUUUUUAUAGGAUAAAAGUUUAGUUCUGGCUGGGCGUGGUGGCUCACGCCUAUAAUCCCAGCACUUUGGGAGGCUGAGGCGCGCCGAUCAUUUGAG